UAUACGCACACAUUGUGAAAUGAUUGAAUCAAAUUAAUAUUUAUCACUUCACAUACUUUCUUGGAUGUAAUCAUUUAAGAUCUACUCUAGCAGCAAUUUUUAGUAGAAAAUACAUCAUCGUUAUGUAUACUCACCAUGCUCUGCAAUUUAUGGGUAGAACUUUUUCAUCCCGCUUAACUGUGAUUUUGUGCCAUUGACCAACAUCUUCCCAUUUCUGUCCACCUACCUCCAGCCCGUGGCUCAGUACUUCUUUACUGGUAGGAGUCUGACUUCUAUAAGUUUAUCAUCUACAAUUUGCUUUAAAAAAUUGAUUUUACCUCAUCAAUAGAUUUGUAAAGUAUGCGUAAUUUUUCGAAGAUAAAAAUAUAUGUUGAAGCAUUUAUUCUAACCAUUGCCUUUACUAUAUUUAGGGGGAUGUUAUGGUUUGAGAGUGUAAUGUUCCCCAAAAGCUCAUGUGUUAAAGGCUUUGUUCCCAAGGCAACAGUGUUCAGGGGUGGAUCUUUGGAGAAGUGAUUGUAUCUUGAGUGCUCUGAACUCAUUACUAUGUCCAUCUAUUGAAAGAGUAAUAAUUUGAUGGCUUUAGUGGGAGGUGAUGGAAACUGUAGGAGGUGAAACCUAUUUGAAGGAAGUGGGUCCUUGGGAGUGUGUCCUUGGAGACUAUAUCUUGUUCCUGGCUCCUUUUUCUUUCUCUCUCUGCUUUCUUAUUAUCAUGAGCUAAGCAGCUUUUCUACAAUAAAUCCUUCUGUAAUGAUUUUCUAUCUCACCUCAGGUCCAAAGAAAUGAGGCCAGCUGGCCAUGGACUGAAACCAUGAGCUAAAAUUAAUUUUCCUCCUUUAAGUUGUCCAUGUAGGGUGUGCUGGUAACAAUGACAAAAAAACUGACUAAGCCAGAGGAGGAAAUCAUGAUGGCAAAUGAAUUUUCCUUGAACUGGUAUUCAAAAUCCUUUUGUGAUUUUAUUAUGUUUGCAAUUAGAUAAAUGUCUGGAAUGUUGAAAAUUAUGUAUGUAAAGAAAAGAUACAGAUUACAUGCUUUCUGUCUUAUUUUAAACAAUUGGCUAAUUUAUCUGCAUAUCUGCUUACAUUGUCAAGGUCAAAUUUGAAAAUGGAUCAAAUUUCUCAAUGCAAGAGACAAUGGAAUUAAUUUCUGUGCAUUCACGCAUUCUAAUAAACAAACAAGGGAGACAAUAUGGAGGUGUGAAGACAUUGUUAAAUUUAGAGUAGGUAAAUAUGAUUUGAAUCUCACAUUUGUUACUCACAUCUACUGCCAAUGCAUUGCAAGUUGGGAUCCGACCUCCCUUUCACCAUCUCUACAUGCAUAGCCCUAGUCCAGGGUAACAUUGUCAAACCUCUGGACUCUUGCAACAGUUUACUGUUUUCUCCCACCAAUGUCUCUUCACAUCUUGUCCUUCAAGAAAUUUACCCACACAUGGCCACAGAAAUCCUUUUAAAGCAUAAAUCUAAUCACUUAAUAAUCCCCUUUCCAUUGAAAUUAGAAUAAUUUUUACGUUCCUCAUCGUGCCUUUUUCUCCUAGUUAUGUGCACAUCAGUUACACAACUGUCUCUGGAAUAGGUUAAGCUCAUUUUGUUUUGGGGUCUUUGCACAGAUAAUUUCAGAGUAAGGGAUGAGAGCAAGGGCUCAUCUAAUGCCCUCCCCAGGUAGUGGCAUGUAUAAUAUUUUGCAAAUAUGUUAUUUCAUCUGUGAAGCUUUUUAUUUCUUCAAUGAGACCAUGCAAAUAUCAUCGGAAGUGUCCAAAUAUUUUCCUGAGCUACACAUUAGCUGAAAGAGAGGAGCCAUUUAAGUCAAGACUCUGAAAUCAGAUUAUAAAAGUAAAUCAUUACUAUUAUACAUAAUAUAAUUUAAUUCCUCAUUCAGAUCAAAAUUAUAACCAUUUUCAAGCAUAGAAAAUCUAUUAGGAACUAUAGUAAAUAUUAGAAGAUAAAAGAAUAAGUGAAGAAAAAUGUCUUUAUUAUUUGUUUAUCAUCAAAAAAGAGAACAGGAACAGUACAACAAUAAUUACAAUGCAAAGCCUAAUAUGUAUGGCAGAGUCAGAAUUUAAGGGUUAGGGAUAAUGGAGUGUCUAAUAGGUCUGACUCUCAUUGUUAGUAACGGUGAUUUCAAAAUCUGCAUGUCUCUUCCACAGUCUGUUAGACUUGCUUGUCCUUAAUUGAAUCAAAAUAUAAAAUUAAUUGGUUUGGGGGAUCAGGGAAUUGAGGAAAAUUUCAUGAAGGAAUUGGGUCAGUAAAAUAGAAGAAAUAAUGGAAUAAAUUUUAUGUAUCUCUUUCUCAAUUUGGUCAUGGUUUUACUAACUAAAUGAAAUGUUUUGUAUUUUGAAGAUGUCAGCCUCCUAAAUAUUACUAGCCUUGUAAUAACUUUCCAAUUUUUUUUUUCAGAAAAGUAGAAGUCUAGUCUCUGGAGUGACAAGAAGCUUGGACAAAGCAGUAUUUGAAUUCUCUGUGGCCUUCCCCCUUUGCUUGUAAAAUCCUCAUUCAUAGAAUAAUUGCAAAAAUUAGAGGGAACAAUGUUUCUGACAUGCAGGUGCUUGAUGCUAUGCUAGCUCUAUCCCUAACUUUUAAUAACUAAACAAGCUUACAUUACAGAAAGAAGACAGAAUUUGUGAAUGAGAACUGCAUCAAUCAGAUGAACUUGAAUUAUGUCUCUGCCACUUCAUCUGCUCUGUGAUCCUGGGCAAAGUAAUGUACAGCUUGAACAUUCUGGACUGAGAUUUACAUUCUCCAAAUAUACAUGAAUAAACACCUGGUGCACUUCAA